GAAUAUUGCGCAAUGGACGAAAGUCUGACGCAGCGACGCCGCGUGGAGGAUGAAGGCCUUCGGGUUGUAAACUCCUUUUGCCAAGCCAUUCACAACUUGGCGAAUAAGCCCCUACUAACUACGUGCCAGAAGUCUCGGUAAUACGUAGGGGGCUAGCGUUAUCCGGAUUCAUUGGGCGUAAAGUGUGCGUAGGCGUUCCGUAAAGUCUUCACUUAAAGACCGAGGCUUACCCUCGGGAGUGGUGAGGAUACUCACGGAAUUGAGGAUUGGCAAGGAAGCUGGAACAGUUAGUGUAGCAGUGAAAUGCGUUGAUAUUAACUGGAACACCAAGGGCGAAGGCAGGCUUCUGUGCUUUUCCUGACGCUGAGGCACGAAAGCUAGGGUAGCGAAACAG
rnacentral:rRNA from 1 species